GGGUUGUGAGGUUAAGCGACUAAGCGUACACGGUGGAUGCCCUGGCAGUCAGAGGCGAUGAAGGACGUGCUAAUCUGCGAUAAGCGUCGGUAAGGUGAUAUGAACCGUUAUAACCGGCGAUUUCCGAAUGGGGAAACCCAGUGUGUUUCGACACACUAUCAUUAACUGAAUCCAUAGGUUAAUGAGGCGAACCGGGGGAACUGAAACAUCUAAGUACCCCGAGGAAAAGAAAUCAACCGAGAUUCCCCCAGUAGCGGCGAGCGAACGGGGAGCAGCCCAGAGCCUGAAUCAGUGUGUGUGUUAGUGGAAGCGUCUGGAAAGGCGCGCGAUACAGGGUGACAGCCCCGUACACAAAAAUGCACAUGCUGUGAGCUCGAUGAGUAGGGCGGGACACGUGGUAUCCUGUCUGAAUAUGGGGGGACCAUCCUCCAAGGCUAAAUACUCCUGACUGACCGAUAGUGAACCAGUACCGUGAGGGAAAGGCGAAAAGAACCCCGGCGAGGGGAGUGAAAAAGAACCUGAAACCGUGUACGUACAAGCAGUGGGAGCACGCUUAGGCGUGUGACUGCGUACCUUUUGUAUAAUGGGUCAGCGACUUAUAUUCUGUAGCAAGGUUAACCGAAUAGGGGAGCCGAAGGGAAACCGAGUCUUAACUGGGCGUUAAGUUGCAGGGUAUAGACCCGAAACCCGGUGAUCUAGCCAUGGGCAGGUUGAAGGUUGGGUAACACUAACUGGAGGACCGAACCGACUAAUGUUGAAAAAUUAGCGGAUGACUUGUGGCUGGGGGUGAAAGGCCAAUCAAACCGGGAGAUAGCUGGUUCUCCCCGAAAGCUAUUUAGGUAGCGCCUCGUGAAUUCAUCUCCGGGGGUAGAGCACUGUUUCGGCAAGGGGGUCAUCCCGACUUACCAACCCGAUGCAAACUGCGAAUACCGGAGAAUGUUAUCACGGGAGACACACGGCGGGUGCUAACGUCCGUCGUGAAGAGGGAAACAACCCAGACCGCCAGCUAAGGUCCCAAAGUCAUGGUUAAGUGGGAAACGAUGUGGGAAGGCCCAGACAGCCAGGAUGUUGGCUUAGAAGCAGCCAUCAUUUAAAGAAAGCGUAAUAGCUCACUGGUCGAGUCGGCCUGCGCGGAAGAUGUAACGGGGCUAAACCAUGCACCGAAGCUGCGGCAGCGACGCUGAUGUGUUGUUGGGUAGGGGAGCGUUCUGUAAGCCUGUGAAGGUGUACUGUGAGGUAUGCUGGAGGUAUCAGAAGUGCGAAUGCUGACAUAAGUAACGAUAAAGCGGGUGAAAAGCCCGCUCGCCGGAAGACCAAGGGUUCCUGUCCAACGUUAAUCGGGGCAGGGUGAGUCGACCCCUAAGGCGAGGCCGAAAGGCGUAGUCGAUGGGAAACAGGUUAAUAUUCCUGUACUUGGUGUUACUGCGAAGGGGGGACGGAGAAGGCUAUGUUGGCCGGGCGACGGUUGUCCCGGUUUAAGCGUGUAGGCUGGUUUUCCAGGCAAAUCCGGAAAAUCAAGGCUGAGGCGUGAUGACGAGGCACUACGGUGCUGAAGCAACAAAUGCCCUGCUUCCAGGAAAAGCCUCUAAGCAUCAGGUAACAUCAAAUCGUACCCCAAACCGACACAGGUGGUCAGGUAGAGAAUACCAAGGCGCUUGAGAGAACUCGGGUGAAGGAACUAGGCAAAAUGGUGCCGUAACUUCGGGAGAAGGCACGCUGAUAUGUAGGUGAGGUCCCUCGCGGAUGGAGCUGAAAUCAGUCGAAGAUACCAGCUGGCUGCAACUGUUUAUUAAAAACACAGCACUGUGCAAACACGAAAGUGGACGUAUACGGUGUGACGCCUGCCCGGUGCCGGAAGGUUAAUUGAUGGGGUUAGCGCAAGCGAAGCUCUUGAUCGAAGCCCCGGUAAACGGCGGCCGUAACUAUAACGGUCCUAAGGUAGCGAAAUUCCUUGUCGGGUAAGUUCCGACCUGCACGAAUGGCGUAAUGAUGGCCAGGCUGUCUCCACCCGAGACUCAGUGAAAUUGAACUCGCUGUGAAGAUGCAGUGUACCCGCGGCAAGACGGAAAGACCCCGUGAACCUUUACUAUAGCUUGACACUGAACAUUGAGCCUUGAUGUGUAGGAUAGGUGGGAGGCUUAGAAGUGUGGACGCCAGUCUGCAUGGAGCCGACCUUGAAAUACCACCCUUUAAUGUUUGAUGUUCUAACGUUGACCCGUAAUCCGGGUUGCGGACAGUGUCUGGUGGGUAGUUUGACUGGGGCGGUCUCCUCCUAAAGAGUAACGGAGGAGCACGAAGGUUGGCUAAUCCUGGUCGGACAUCAGGAGGUUAGUGCAAUGGCAUAAGCCAGCUUGACUGCGAGCGUGACGGCGCGAGCAGGUGCGAAAGCAGGUCAUAGUGAUCCGGUGGUUCUGAAUGGAAGGGCCAUCGCUCAACGGAUAAAAGGUACUCCGGGGAUAACAGGCUGAUACCGCCCAAGAGUUCAUAUCGACGGCGGUGUUUGGCACCUCGAUGUCGGCUCAUCACAUCCUGGGGCUGAAGUAGGUCCCAAGGGUAUGGCUGUUCGCCAUUUAAAGUGGUACGCGAGCUGGGUUUAGAACGUCGUGAGACAGUUCGGUCCCUAUCUGCCGUGGGCGCUGGAGAACUGAGGGGGGCUGCUCCUAGUACGAGAGGACCGGAGUGGACGCAUCACUGGUGUUCGGGUUGUCAUGCCAAUGGCACUGCCCGGUAGCUAAAUGCGGAAGAGAUAAGUGCUGAAAGCAUCUAAGCACGAAACUUGCCCCGAGAUGAGUUCUCCCUGACCCUUUAAGGGUCCUGAAGGAACGUUGAAGACGACGACGUUGAUAGGCCGGGUGUGUAAGCGCAGCGAUGCGUUGAGCUAACCGGUACUAAUGAACCGUGAGGCUUAACCUUACAACGCCGAAGCUGUU
rnacentral:rRNA from 1 species